rnacentral:rRNA from 1 species
UGGGGAAUAUUGCACAAUGGGCGAAAGCCUGAUGCAGCAACGCCGCGUGAGUGAUGAAGGUCUUCGGAUUGUAAAGCUCUGUCUUUUGGGACGAUAAUGACGGUACCAAAGGAGGAAGCCACGGCUAACUACGUGCCAGCAGCCGCGGUAAUACGUAGGUGGCGAGCGUUGUCCGGAUUUACUGGGCGUAAAGGGUGCGUAGGCGGAUGUUUAAGUGAGAUGUGAAAUACCCGGGCUUAACUUGGGUGCUGCAUUUCAAACUGGAUAUCUAGAGUGCAGGAGAGGAGAAUGGAAUUCCUAGUGUAGCGGUGGAAUGCGUAGAGAUUAGGAAGAACACCAGUGGCGAAGGCGAUUCUCUGGACUGUAACUGACGCUGAGGCACGAAAGCGUGGGUAGCAAACAGGAUUAGAUACCCUGGUAGUCCACGCCGUAAACGAUGAGUACUAGGUGUAGGAGGUAUCGACCCCUUCUGUGCCGCAGUAAACACAUUAAGUACUCCGCCUGGGAAGUACGAUCGCAAGAUUAAAAC